rnacentral:lncRNA from 1 species
GCUGUCUGUCCUCUGUUCGCAGGGGUCGGGAAGAGUUAGUGAGUGUCUGGAGACUAAAAGCGGGCAGCUUUGCAUACCAUUUAAUGCCAGGUCAGACAGAUAGCCUGGAACAUAACCUAAAAUUAUAUUCCCUAAACCUGACACCAUUAAGAGGAUAACCAAAAUGCACAUCUAACCAGACUUCUUCCUUCAGUUGCUAUACCUUAUACAGACUGUGUCAUGGUUUUGUGAUUUUCGGUUAUUGGUAUUCCACAUCAUAACAUCAUGUAGUGGAUGUACCUGGUUCUCAGAAGAGGACUACUACAGUCCCCACGGUACUUUUCUCCUCUGUUACCAUUUUCUAGCCGGGGGGGAAAGAUAAAAGCUCGCAGUAUAAAAACUUGCAGACCACGAGACCUCAUCCCUUUUUUCCGCCCAUCUCUCGUCUUAGCAGCACCUCGCUCUCCAGCCGUCUUAUCAUCGGUAGUAGAGUAAGGCCUACCUUGAUUUUGGGACAUUCUCUCUUUCUGUAUUGGAUUUAUCAGCUUAAAUUGUAAUUAUAUUGUAUUAUAGUGUGUUGUUUGGCGUUCCGAUACCUUAUUUAGUAAAUUAGUUUGUUUCUCCUCAGAUUGUUGCCGUUGUUCUUUGCUCUCAGGGCCAUCUCCUUACCCUUUUUCCCCUUUUCCCUUUUCCCAGGGUGUGGGCCCGUGGGUCCCCCACCCCAUUUGUCACGGAACUGGGCCAAAUGCCCAUAAACCGUUGACAGACUGCUAUCUCUGUCUUGCAAAUAGCUUCACUGGAUCCUUGCAGAGAACUAGCGACAAGCUGUACUGACAAAAUGCAUGCUGCAAUGUGGAUUAGUAAAGCCAGUGCCCUUUGCAUCACCAUCUGGUGCAGAGCCUGUGGGGCAGAAGAACGGUGUAUUGUGGGUUGCCAGCACUUUCACAGAAAACUGGAACAGCUUGAGGUGGCAAUGAAGACACACAGUGCAGGCUUCCAUUCAGUGCCUGAUUUCAUCCUGGGCUCAAGCGUAAGAGACACCAAACACUCCAGGAGGAAGGCAGAUGAACACAAGCUUAACUUGCAGAUUAUAAAGACGUCCUUGAACUCUGCUGGAGUACUUUGUGCGUGACCACAACUGAAGUUUGAACCAAAAUACUUGUGGUCUGUAGGCAGCAAUCCCUCCACAUGAGCUCUGGGACUAUUGUGUUCUUUGGCUUAGCUUUUGGUAACUGUGCUGAACUGCUUUGGGCUGAAAUCCACCCUGUGUCACUCCUAUUGUUCCCAUUGUAUCUGUGCCUACUGCUUACGCUUUUCCAACACUGUUCUUUUCCAUGUACUUAGCAGCAGUGGAAAGGACUUCAUUUUUUCCAUCCAUUAGAUGUUUAUGCUUGUAUGCAGCAUGUAGCUACAAGGGGAUGUUUAGUGCCUGUCUGUUUUGUUUGACAUUGAGAAUAAACCACCACGCAUCUAAGUGCA